rnacentral:rRNA from 1 species
AUUGAACGCUGGCGGCAUGCCUUACACAUGCAAGUCGAACGGUAACGGGCCUUCGGGUGCCGACGAGUGGCGAACGGGUGAGUAAUACAUCGGAACGUGCCCGAUCGUGGGGGAUAACGAGGCGAAAGCUUUGCUAAUACCGCAUACGAUCUACGGAUGAAAGCAGGGGACCGCAAGGCCUUGCGCGGACGGAGCGGCCGAUGGCAGAUUAGGUAGUUGGUGGGAUAAAAGCUUACCAAGCCGACGAUCUGUAGCUGGUCUGAGAGGAUGAUCAGCCACACUGGGACUGAGACACGGCCCAGACUCCUAAGGGAGGGAGCAGUGGGGAAUUUUGGACAAAGGGCGGAAGGCUGAUCCAGCCAUGCCGCGUGCAGGAUGAAGGCCUUCGGGUUGUAAACUGCUUUUGUAAGGAACGAAAAGCCUUCUUUUAAUACAGGAGGGUCAUGACGGUACCGUAAGAAUAAGCACCGGCUAACUACGUG